AAAAAGAAGGCGAAAGUUGGUCAAGAUAAAGAGGCCUUCUCUUGGUUUUCUCCAUGUGCCUUUGCAUUUUUCAGAGACCAUUAUUUUCAUUUCUCCCUCCACCUUUUCUCCUUGAAGGAAACGAAUCCAUUUCGGAGCAGGAGGGAAGUUCUUCAUGAAAAAAAAACGAAGCGAAUGUAAGAAAAGAAAAAAAA
rnacentral:ribozyme from 13 species